GGGGUUGUGGCUCAGUGGUAGAGCACUCGCCUAGCAUGUGUGGGGCCCUAGGUUUGAUCCU
rnacentral:tRNA from 1 species